rnacentral:rRNA from 1 species
GAUGAACGCUGACAGCAUGCUUAACACAUGCAAGUCAACUGUGGCGGACGGGUGAGUAACGCGUAAAGAACUUGCCUCACAGCUAGGGACAACAUUUGGAAACGAAUGCUAAUACCUGAUACUGUGAGAGAGCUUUGCGUCCCAUUAGCUCGUUGGAGAGGUCACGGCUCACCAAGGCGAUGAUGGGUAGCCGGCCUGAGAGGGUGAUCGGCCACAAGGGGACUGGGACACGGCCCUUACUCCUACGGGAGGAAGCAGGGGGGAAGAGUGGACAAUGGACCGAAGGCUGAUCCAGAAAUUCGGUGUGCACGAUGAAGGUUUCGGAAGGUAAAGUGCGUUCAGUGGGGAAGCGGUACCAACAGAAGAAGUGACGGCUAAAUACGUGCCAGCAGCCGCGGUAAUAC